rnacentral:rRNA from 1 species
GAUGAACGCUGGCGGCGUGCCUAAUACAUGCAAGUCGAGCGAACGGACGAGAAGCUUGCUUCUCUGAUGUUAGCGGCGGACGGGUGAGUAACACGUGGAUAACCUACCUAUAAGACUGGGAUAACUUCGGGAAACCGUAGCUAAUACCGGAUAAUAUUUUGAACCGCAUGGUUCAAAAGUGAAAGACGGUCUUGCUGUCACUUAUAGAUGGAUCCGCGCUGCAUUAGCUAGUUGGUAAGGUAACGGCUUACCAAGGCAACGAUGCAUAGCCGACCUGAGAGGGUGAGCGGCCACACUGGAACUGAGACACGGUCCAGACUCCUACGGGAGGCAGCAGUAGGGAAUAUUCCGCAAUGGGCGAAAGCAUGACGGAGCAACGCCGCGUGAGUGAUGAAGGUCUUCGGAUCGUAAAACUCUGUUAUUAGGGAAGAACAUAUGUGUAAGUAACUGUGCACAUCUUGACGGUAACUAAUAAGAAAGCCACGGCUAACUACGUG